rnacentral:rRNA from 1 species
UACGGAAGGCAGCAGUGGGGAAUAUUGCACAAUGGGCGCAAGCCUGAUGCAGCCAUGCCGCGUGUAUGAAAAAGGCCUUCGGGUUGUAAAGUACUUUCAGUCGUGAGGAAGGUGUUAAGGUUAAUAACCUUAGCAAUUGACGUUAGCGACAGAAGAAGCACCGGCUAACUCCGUGCCAGCAGCCGCGGUAAUACGGAGGGUGCGAGCGUUAAUCGGAAUUACUGGGCGUAAAGGGCACGCAGGCGGUUAAUUAAGUUGGAUGUGAAAUCCCCGGGCUUAACCUGGGAAUGGCAUUCAAGACUGGUUAGCUAGAGUCUUGUAGAGGGGGUAGAAUUCCAUGUGUAGCGGUGAAAUGCGUAGAGAUGUGGAGGAAAUACCGGUGGCGAAGGCGGCCCCUGGGACAAAGACUGACGCUCAUGUGCGAAAAGCGUGGGGAGCAAACAGGGAUUAGAUACC